rnacentral:tRNA from 1 species
UUCUAUGUGGCUCAGAUGGUAAAGCAUCUGCCUACAAUGCAGAAGACCUAGGUUCGAUCCCUGGGUCAGGAA